rnacentral:rRNA from 1 species
AUGAACGCUAGCUACAGGCUUAACACAUGCAAGUCGAGGGGCAUCAGGAAGAAAGCUUGCUUUCUUUGCUGGCGACCGGCGCACGGGUGAGUAACACGUAUCCAACCUGCCCUUUACUCGGGGAUAGCCUUUCGAAAGAAAGAUUAAUACCCGAUAGCAUAAUGAUUCCGCAUGGUUUCAUUAUUAAAGGAUUCCGGUAAAGGAUGGGGAUGCGUUCCAUUAGGUUGUUGGUGAGGUAACGGCUCACCAAGCCUUCGAUGGAUAGGGGUUCUGAGAGGAAGGUCCCCCACAUUGGAACUGAGACACGGUCCAAACUCCUACGGGAGGCAGCAGUGAGGAAUAUUGGUCAAUGGGCGCUAGCCUGAACCAGCCAAGUAGCGUGAAGGAUGAAGGCUCUAUGGGUCGUAAACUUCUUUUAUAUAAGAAUAAAGUGCAGUAUGUAUACUGUUUUGUAUGUAUUAUAUGAAUAAGGAUCGGCUAACUCCGUGCCAGCAGCCGCGGUAAUACGGAGGAUCCGAGCGUUAUCCGGAUUUAUUGGGUUUAAAGGGAGCGUAGGUGGACUGGUAAGUCAGUUGUGAAAGUUUGCGGCUCAACCGUAAAAUUGCAGUUGAUACUGUCAGUCUUGAGUACAGUAGAGGUGGGCGGAAUUCGUGGUGUAGCGGUGAAAUGCUUAGAUAUCACGAAGAACUCCGAUUGCGAAGGCAGCUCACUGGACUGCAACUGACACUGAUGCUCGAAAGUGUGGGUAUCAAACAGGAUUAGAUACCCUGGUAGUCCACACAGUAAACGAUGAAUACUCGCUGUUUGCGAUAUACAGUAAGCGGCCAAGCGAAAGCAUUAAGUAUUCCACCUGGGGAGUACGCCGGCAACGGUGAAACUCAAAGGAAUUGACGGGGGCCCGCACAAGCGGAGGAACAUGUGGUUUAAUUCGAUGAUACGCGAGGAACCUUACCCGGGCUUAAAUAGCAGUGGAAUGAUGUGGAAACAUGUCAGUGAGCAAUCACCGCUGUGAAGGUGCUGCAUGGUUGUCGUCAGCUCGUGCCGUGAGGUGUCGGCUUAAGUGCCAUAACGAGCGCAACCCUUAUCUUUAGUUACUAACAGGUCAUGCUGAGGACUCUAGAGAGACUGCCGUCGUAAGAUGUGAGGAAGGUGGGGAUGACGUCAAAUCAGCACGGCCCUUACGUCCGGGGCUACACACGUGUUACAAUGGGGGGUACAGAAGGCAGCUAGCGGGUGACCGUAUGCUAAUCCCAAAAGCCUCUCUCAGUUCGGAUCGAAGUCUGCAACCCGACUUCGUGAAGCUGGAUUCGCUAGUAAUCGCGCAUCAGCCACGGCGCGGUGAAUACGUUCCCGGGCCUUGUACACACCGCCCGUCAAGCCAUGGGAGCCGGGGGUACCUGAAGUACGUAACCGCAAGGAUCGUCCUAGGGUAAAACUGGUGACUGGGGCU